rnacentral:rRNA from 1 species
AACGUAGGUGGCGAGCGUUAUCCGGAUUUACUGGGCGUAAAGCGUGUGCAGGCGGGGUGACAAGUGGUGUAUGAAAUCUCCGGGCGAAACCUGGAGGGGUUAUGCCAGACUGUCAUUCUAGAGUGCGAGAGAGGGGCGUGGAAUUCCGGGUGUAGUGGUGAAAUGCGUAGAGAUGCGGCGGAACACCGAUGGCGAAGGCAGCCCCCUGGGCUGAGAUUGACGCUCAGGCACGAAAGCGUGGGGAGCAAACAGG